UAUGAUAAUCCAGGAUUUUGUAUUUUUUGGAUAUGCAUAUAGUAUUUUAUUUUUAUUUUUAUAAUUUGUUGCGGGGAUGGGCUUUUUAGGUCUGGACAAUAUGCAUCAUCUUGGUCUCAGAAUAUGUAGGACUCCAUAUCACAUGAAAUUUAAAGAAAACGCAGCAUAAUCUAUGAUUUUGAACUUCAGAAUACUUUUUCUGAAUGCCCAAGUUGGCAAAGUUCUUUCUUGACUGUAAUGUGAUAGAAUAAUGGAGGGCAGAAUUAGUUUUUACACUUAACAGAAUUUUUCUUCUUAAUUUAUUGUUGGAUUUCUCUUUGUAUGCCAAAUUAUUCUUACCAUUGUCUCUAUGUAAAGUUCCUCUGACUAUCCAUAUUUCUGCAAGUGUUAAAAGGCAAAUAAUAUCUGUCAACUUUCUUUAAUGAUCAAACUGCCAUAUGUUCCAUCACCAUGUACUCGAGUAUUCAUAUUGUCCACAUAAGUCUCUGGUUGAUUUAGCUUUGAAACUGUUGUUUUUUAAAUUUGUAUGGUAAAUGACUACCGGUGUAUUUGAGUAUAAGUGUAAGCUUUAGAAAACACGUCCUGUUUGAUGUUCAAGUGUUUUUGAUCUACACUAUGACAAAUGAGGCAAUCCAUCACGUUGACUAAGAUUAUUUGUUUUCGAUAUUCUGUAUUACCAUGUUAAGUUAGUAUGAAUAUUUUCCCGUUCUUUUCUUCAAACAAUUCA
rnacentral:lncRNA from 1 species